GUCAGGCAGGAGUGUGUCCUGAGGGUGGCAGUGGGGGUGCCGCCCACCUUAAAAUCUGAUUGGCCACCCUGAAAUCCUAAACUGUGAUUGGCUGUUUUGCUCGUCAAAGGUAGGAUUUUUUUCUUAAGUUCAUCUGUAGUCAGGAUGUGAUAUCAGACUGUCAGUAGUUUUCUUUGUAUUUGAAUUAUUUGUCUUUAAUUCAGCGUUGAUGUCGGAUAAACAUCAUUCUCCAUCCAUCCAUUUUCUACUACUUAUUCCUGUUAGGGGUCGCGGAGGGGCUGUAGCCUGUCCCAGCAUCUCCGGGCGAAGGCAGGGGACACCCUGGACAAGUCGCCAGUUCAUCGCAGGGCUGUCAUACAGAGACGAACAACCAUCCACGCUCACAUUCACACCUACGGGCAAUUUAAAGGUGGCCAAUCAUCCUAACCCCAU